AGUGAACGCUGGCGGUAGGCCUAACACAUGCAAGUCGAACGGCAGCACAGUAAGAGCUUGCUCUUACGGGUGGCGAGUGGCGGACGGGUGAGGAAUACAUCGGAAUCUACUUUUUCGUGGGGGAUAACGUAGGGAAACUUACGCUAAUACCGCAUACGACCUACGGGUGAAAGCAGGGGAUCUUCGGACCUUGCGCGAUUGAAUGAGCCGAUGUCGGAUUAGCUAGUUGGCGGGGUAAAGGCCCACCAAGGCGACGAUCCGUAGCUGGUCUGAGAGGAUGAAUAGCCACACUGGAACUGAGACACGGGCCAGACUCCUACGGGAGGCAGCAGUGGGGAAUAUUGGACAAUGGGCGCAAGCCUGAUCCAGCCAUACCGCGUAGGUGAAGAAGGCCUUCGGGUUGUAAAGCCCUUUUGUUGGGAAAGAAAAGCAGCAGGUUAAUACCCCGCUGUUCUGACGGUACCCAAAGAAUAAGCACCGGCUAACUUCGUG
rnacentral:rRNA from 1 species